rnacentral:rRNA from 1 species
CACGGAGGGGGCUAGCGUUGUUCGGAAUUACUGGGCGUAAAGCGCACGUAGGCGGCUUGGUAAGUUAGAGGUGAAAGCCUGGAGCUCAACUCCAGAAUUGCCUUUAAGACUGCCGAGCUAGCAGGUGAGAGAGGUGAGUGGAAUUCCGAGUGUAGGGGUGAAAUUCGUAGAUAUUCGGAAGAACACCAGUGGCGAAGGCGGCUCACUGGCUCAUACUGGACGCUGAGGUGCGAAAGCGUGGGGAGCAAACAGG